CGGGUGAGUAACACGUAAACAACCUGCCUUCAGGAUGGGGACAACAGACGGAAACGACUGCUAAUACCGAAUAAGUUCCAAGGGCCGCAUGGCCCAUGGAAGAAAAGGUGGCCUCUACCUGUAAGCUAUCGCCUGAAGAGGGGUUUGCGUCUGAUUAGCUGGUUGGAGGGGUAACGGCCCACCAAGGCGACGAUCAGUAGCCGACCUGAGAGGGUGACCGGCCACAUUGGGACUGAGACACGGCCCAA
rnacentral:rRNA from 1 species